UGGGGAAUAUUGGACAAUGGGCGCAAGCCUGAUCCAGCAAUGCCGCGUGAGUGAUGAAGGCCUUCGGUCGUAAAGCUCUUUUACCAGGGAUGAUAAUGACAGUACCUGGAGAAUAAGCUCCGGCUAACUCCGUGCC
rnacentral:rRNA from 1 species